CAAGGGCACAAUUGUAUAAUUGUACCCAUUGCAAGGCACAAUCGCACACAUGUUCACACACCCAUUCACAAUACGGACAGUUUAGAGAUGCUAAUCAGCCUACAACGCAUGUAUUUGGACUGGGGGAGGAAAAUGGAGUACCCAGAGGAAACCCCCGAAGCACAUAGAGAACAUGCAAACUGCACGCAGACAAGGUGGAGGCAGGAAUCGAACUGAUUGAAAUGUUAAAAAAGUCACUCCAGACCUGUGAAAGCUGAGAUACACUCUAACCGAGAGCACAUGCGGUGAUUUUACAAUUUUCUUCACACAAUUCUGAUACACUAGACACAAACAUUUACAUCCGUUUUCUUUUUUGAACUUUCUUGUACUGUUUUUUUCAUAACUAUCAGUAAAUCCAAGAGUUUAGAUGUUCUGCUUUAACCUGUGAACCCAAUGCCUGAUGUGGUAUUUGAGCACAAUAGGAUAGAGUAUAUCAGUGGGAGUAGAUUGUAUGGAGUGGUUUCCGUUAUGCCGUGAAAUCUCAUAUAUCAUCUCCAUAAGUUUUCCAUCCCCUGUCCUGAAGACCUGCAUGUCCUUCUGUCCUGUUCCCACCCCUUCCUCUCCAUCAAAGAUCUGAGUCAGCACAGCCCGGCUUGGCAAUCGACCAAAUGGGCUGCUGUGAGCUAUAGCCUGUCUGAACUGAACGGCCAGGCAUUCAUUAGGCUAAAAGCCUAGAGACGCUGACAGCACACAGACACACCGACACACACACACACACACACACACACACACACAAACACUGACACACACACCCUGACUGAGAUAGAUCUUGCUUGGAUAGCAUCCACUAACUACAGAUGCCUGAAUAUUUACUGCUGCUUCUUUCUAUUCCAGAUGAGUGCACCCUGUUGCAGACAAGGAGAACUGAAGCGUUGGGGGAAAUGUCAAGAUGAGCCGUCUUGCAAGAAAUCGACAAAUUACACAACCUCCAAAACUACCCGAUAAGAUGAUGGACUAGUGCUCUAGUCACUUUAUUUAACAGGAUGGGUGUUUAUUCCCUGGAAUGACACAACGAUUGGUGUUUCCCCUGAGGGAUCCACAGUCAGACGCUAUGGAGUCACACUCUUGGAGCUUCAUUCCUCCUCCAAUCGCCGUCUGCUAAAGAGGGCUUCAUGAUGGGAUUAAGACUAAUCAGAUAAAGCUGUAGGGGGUUUCAGCAUCACCAGAGGCAAC
ensembl:lncRNA